UACGUAGGGUGCGAGCGUUGUCCGGAAUUAUUGGGCGUAAAGAGCUCGUAGGCGGUUCCGUAAGUCGGAUGUGAAAACUCAGGGCUCAACCCGGAGACGCCAUCCGAUACUGCGGUGACUGGAGUCUGGUAGGGGAACACGGAAUUCCUGGUGUAGCGGUGAAAUGCGCAGAUAUCAGGAGGAACACCGAUGGCGAAGGCAGUGUUCUGGGCCAGUACUGACGCUGAGGAGCGAAAGCCAGGGGAGCAAACGGG
rnacentral:rRNA from 1 species